GUCGAGAAUCUUUCACAAUGGGGGCAACCCUGAUGGAGCGACGCCGCGUGGAGGAUAAGGUCUUCGGAUUGUAAACUCCUGUCAUGCGUGAACAAGGUUGCUUGGUUAAUACCUGGGCAAAUUGAUGGUAACGCAAGAGGAAGAGACGGCUAACUCUGUGCCAGCAGCCGCGGUAAUACAGAGGUCUCAAGCGUUGGUCGGAAUCACUGGGCGUAAAGGGUGCGUAGGUGGCGUGGUAAGUCAGAUGUGAAAGCCCGGGGCUCAACCUCGGAACUGCAUCCGAUACUGCCAUGCUAGAGUACUGGAGAGGUGACUAGAAUUCUCGGUGUAGCAGUGAAAUGCGUAGAUAUCGAGAGGAAUACCAAAGGCGUAGGCAGGUCACUGGACAGUUACUGACACUGAGGCACGAAGGCCAGGGGAGCGAACGGGAUUAGAUACCCGAGUAGUCC
rnacentral:rRNA from 1 species